rnacentral:rRNA from 1 species
UACGGGGGGGGCAAGCGUUGUUCGGAAUUACUGGGCGUAAAGGGCUCGUAGGCGGCCAACUAAGUCAGACGUGAAAUCCCUCGGCUUAACCGGGGAACUGCGUCUGAUACUGGAUGGCUUGAGUUUGGGAGAGGGAUGCGGAAUCCCAGGUGUAGCGGUGAAAUGCGUAGAUAUGACAUAGAACACCGAUAGCGAAGGCAGCUUGCUACACAAUAAUUGACACUGAGGCACGAAAGCGUGGGGAUCAAACAGG